UAGAAUUCCACGUGUAGCAGUGAAAUGCGUAGAGAUGUGGAGGAAUACCGAUGGCGAAGGCAGCCUCCUGGGAUAACACUGACGUUCAUGCUCGAAAGCGUGGGUAGCAAACAGGAUUAGAUACCCUGGUAGUCCACGCCCUAAACGAUGACAAUUAGCUGUUGGGACACUAGAUGUCUUAGUAGCGAAGCUAACGCGUGAAAUUGUCCGCCUGGGGAGUACGGUCGCAAGAUUAAAACUCAAAGGAAUUGACGGGGACCCGCACAAGCGGUGGAUGAUGUGGAUUAAUUCGAUGCAACGCGAAGAACCUUACCUGGUCUUGACAUGUACGGAAUCUCUUAGAGAUAGGAGAGUGCCUUCGGGAGCCGUAACACAGGUGCUGCAUGGCUGUCGUCAGCUCGUGUCGUGAGAUGUUGGGUUAAGUCCCGCAACGAGCGCAACCCUUGUCAUUAGUUGCCAUCAUUAAGUUGGGCACUCUAAUGAGACUGCCGGUGACAAACCGGAGGAAGGUGGGGAUGACGUCAAGUCCUCAUGGCCCUUAUGACCAGGGCUUCACACGUCAUACAAUGGUCGGUACAGAGGGUAGCGAAGCCGCGAGGUGAAGCCAAUCUCAGAAAGCCGAUCGUAGUCCGGAUUGCACUCUGCAACUCGAGUGCAUGAAGUCGGAAUCGCUAGUAAUCGCAGGUCAGCAUAC
rnacentral:rRNA from 2 species